rnacentral:rRNA from 1 species
UACGAAGGGGGCUAGCGUUGUUCGGAAUUACUGGGCGUAAAGCGCGCGCAGGCGGCCAUUCAAGUCAGGGGUGAAAGCCCAGAGCUCAACUCCAGAACUGCCUUCGAUACUGGAAAGCUCGAGUCCGGGAGAGGUGAGUGGAACUGCGAGUGUAGAGGUGAAAUUCGUAGAUAUUCGCAAGAACACCAGUGGCGAAGGCGGCUCACUGGCCCGGUACUGACGCUGAGGUGCGAAAGCGUGGGGAGCAAACAGG